AUACACAACAUGUAAACCAGUAAUUGACACCAAAUAAGACAAUACAGUACCGGGUUCACCAUAAUACAAACUAUAAUAAAAGAAAUCAUAGUUCAUGCAUACGAGACCAUAACAUAAUUACAUCAAACAUCAUGCUGCAUUUAAUACUAGAAAUUAGACCAAACAAUAACAGACCAACACUGUAUCAGACUCGGGCCCCAUUGGCAACCU
rnacentral:lncRNA from 1 species